rnacentral:lncRNA from 1 species
ACUCAUCCUGUUUUCAUUCUUGGAAGGUCCUCUUUUUCUCCAGAUAAUGUUGCUAUUAAAAACUCAGUGUCCUUUUGUGUAGUUUUACAACUUAGGUAAUUGAGAAAUAUUUUCCUUCUGAAUUUUGUACAAGAAAAAGACAAUUAGAUUUGCAUUGCUUGCAAAAACUUAGGAAAUUUUGAGGCAAAAGUAGUAGUUAUUAAUGAAUAAACAAGAGAGCUUUUGACAUCAUUAAAGACCACUAGAUUCCUCCUUCCUAUUUUAAAGCCUUCCACACUUCUCAGUUCCAUUUACUUUUAAUUAUAUGAUUAUGAAUGAAUCACAUAAAAAAUAAUAGAUCUGGGUACAUUAAUUAUGUAUCGAAAGACAAGUAGAUCCAACAGAUUAAACAGAAUAGAAUAAGUGUGUGUAUUUACUGAUUUCUGUUUGGCUGUCUGCUCUAACAUGAUAACAUGUGUAUUGAGCAGAGAUUUAUAGGAAAAUGUCAGAUGAUAAUUAAUUUGAAUGCAAUAAGAAAGAUUUGAAAUUUCCAAUUAAAAGCUUUCAUUGUAAGGAAAGACUGAUUGCAAUUUAAAAAUUAUGAAUCCAUAUACAUUUUUUUUUGCCAUAUAACUCAGACACCGUUCAAAGAAUUGAGUGGCUUUGUUAUAACAAAUUCUUUUUAUUCACCUGUACUCUUUGACUUUGGGAUUAUUCGUUAGUAUGUGUAUUUUGUUGAGAAUUUGAUUAUUUUCUAAUGCCAAGUUCUCUUGAAAUUUAAGGCUGUGGAGACACAAUUCACCUCUUGGGGCUGAGACGAUGGGGUUUUCUAAAUAUACAAUUCAUGUCAUCUCCAAACAGUGACAAUUUGACUUCCUCUCUCUGCAGCAAGUUCUUGCUCAUCUUUAGAAAGGAAAUGGCUCAGAUUUGGUAGCUUUUAGCCCAUCUAGGACUAAAGCCAUGUUUAUUUAGAAAUUCAUGUGAACACCAGAUAAAUGUAGACUACUUAUUUGAGACAUUAGUUCGCUGUUUCUUUGUUACGAUUAAGUAUCUGUUUGGAUUUUUAAUUAUUUAAACACUCACCAAGCUAGAUAAAUCAUGGAGACAAUAAAGAUGAGUAACACAAAUGCCCCAGCUGCUACACCGUAAACCCAGGUCUUUAGUCUCCCAUCUAAGAAGAAUGGAUAUUAGUUAUUAAUUUACAUUAGUCUGGUAUACAUGAGGCAGUCUUUAACUAUGACCAAUGAUCAGUCAUAUAUGACCAAUUUCUUUCAAAACCCGAAAAGAAUUAUUGCUUCAGCACAGUUAAUGAUUAAUGCAAAGCUGCUAUUAUGAGUUAGAUUCUGCUUCAUUAAAGAUAAGCUAUCAAGGAAAAUUGAACUGAAAAAUUAUAAAUGUUUGACUUCAGAUUUCAAGUUUCUUUGGCUAAACUUCAGCUGCCUUUCAUCUCAAUUUUACUUCAAACUCAAUACAUGUGUAAUGCUAUAUAAACAUUUUCUUCUGAUUUUCAGUGUAUUUUGAGAAUUGCAAUGAUAAGAAAAGAUGAAAAAUGCAAUUUUAAGAAAGUUUCUACAAACUCGAGUUAAUGCAUAUAGGUAUUUAAACAAAAACUUUGUCAUUUUUGUUCCAGGUAAAAUGAAAGUGAAUAUAUUUAACAUUUUAUGGAAUUAAUAAUCUUUUAUCUAGUCUGCACUUACAAUGUGUUUUAAAAUUGGCUGACAAUGUCAUUUUCAAAAACAACUGGUUUGGUUAACAUAUAAAAGGAUCUAUAAAUAAUUUUUUUCUACCUUUUCUAUUAUAUGGAAUCAGACAUAACAGGAACUUUUGUAAUUUGGGUUUCUGGUCUCAUCUUUGAACUCCUCAGUUUUAUGCUCCGAAUAAACUUCAAGCACAAGAUGUUAUUAAUGAUAUUGGCUAAUUUAAUUUGAUUCUCACAUCAACAUAUAUUUUCUGUUGCAAUUAAAUAUUUGAUCUUAGUGUUAAAAUUAUAGAUUGGGCAAAAUUGACCUCACAUAGACUCUGGUUUAUUCAAUAUUUGAAAGGCAUCAAAUGGAAAUUGGUACUGUGGAAUUUUUUCGCCUGGAGUUAGAUCAAGUUAGAGGUUCAUUUGCUGGGAAUAAACUCAAUUAAUAUUCUAAAUAUCCUUUCUUUCUAAUCCUAAAGAUUUUUUUUUUUAAUUUGAGCCCAGUUUAGAAUCCAAAAGAGCUGUUCCAUGAUUGAGGUUCUCUGUUGAGGGUUUCUUCAACAAAUAUUUUUUGGGGUUUUUCAAAAUCAAAGAAUAUCUAAGUUUUCAGAACAUGCACCUUUUAAAUAUAUUAAAAUUUUAACUUUGGGGAAACUAUAUAUAAAAUUUAAAAUAAUGACAAUAAUAUUCUUUUUUUUUCAAAAGGAUUGGUUUUGAUCUGAGGAGAUCUGCUUCAAUUCUUAGUAAACGUCAAAAUUGCUACUGGUUGUCUGCUAGUCCAUUGUCUUAAACACUGAGGGAAGAGUUUCCCAUGCUUACACAGAUAAGUC